UUACUCCGUUUAAUGUUCACACAAAACUCACGCCAUCGUCACUUUCUUUUUUCCUGCACACAUACUAGUUACACACACAAUAAUCUAUCCCCAAAUUUUUAUACCUAAUAAUCUAAUCUAUCCCCAAAUUGUUAUACGCAUACACAAAAACAAUUAAAAUAUUCCAAAGUAAAACACCAACAGGCUACAUCUUUUGCUCCAGCAUACAAAUCUCCGGCAGUGGCAGUACGUAGUCGCCGGAAUAAGCAGCGCCACUGGUAAUAGCAGUCGAAAUAAUUUGCAGCAGCCAACGACGGUGGUGGAUGGUGAUAGACUGACGAUGGUAUUCCAAAAAGAAGUGUAGAUGGAGAUGAGAGGCAGCAUCUAUGGAGAAAGUAUUUUGAUGGGGAUCGAGAUGAGAAGCCGCAGCCAUGGAGAAGAAGAUGAAGAAAUUAUUUGUUGCAGCUGAAAAUAAUAGUGUAUGAGUGGAGGGCUUUUUUGUCAUAUAUUUGAAUUCCAAUAGAAUUACAAACUUUCCAUGAAUAAUUUGAAGGAAUUCUAAAUUCCUUGAUUCAGAGAAUUUGAUGGAAAAUAUUAGAUUCCAAUUCCAUCUUCAAUACCAACCAAACAUGAUUGUGAAUGGAAUUCAAAUUCCAAUUCCUAUGAAAUCCACCAACCAAACGGCCCUUAAAUUCUUUGUUUUAAGAAAUUUGAUGGAAUUUUUGAAAUUCCAAUUCCAUUGAUUUCCCAACCAAACAUGUAAAUGAAUAGAAUUUAAAUUCCAAAUCCCAUGAAUUCCAAAAGAUUUUACUCAACCAAACGGCCCUUAAAGAGUAUGGAGUGAUGAUUGUCCUUUGUUCUUUUCGGUAUCAUUCCCUUCUAUGUACAUUUGUACAAAUUAAGUAAGUUGAUUUUAUUUUACUUUAA